rnacentral:rRNA from 1 species
GUCCACGCCGUAAACGUUGGGCGCUAGGUGUGGGGGCCAUUCCACGGUCUCUGUGCCGUAGCUAACGCAUUAAGCGCCCCGCCUGGGGAGUACGGCCGCAAGGCUAAAACUCAAAGGAAUUGACGGGGGCCCGCACAAGCGGCGGAGCAUGUGGAUUAAUUCGAUGCAACGCGAAGAACCUUACCUGGGUUUGACAUGCACCAGACGCGUCUAGAGAUAGGCGUUCCCUUGUGGUUGGUGUGCAGGUGGUGCAUGGCUGUCGU